rnacentral:rRNA from 1 species
GACGAACGCUGGCGGCGUGCUUAACACAUGCAAGUCGAACGGUAAGGCCCUUCGGGGUACACGAGUGGCGAACGGGUGAGUAACACGUGGGUGAUCCGCCCUGCACUUCGGGAUAAGCCUGGGAAACUGGGUCUAAUACCGGAUAGGACCACUGCCUGCAUGGGUGGUGGUGGAAAGCUCUUGCGGUGUGGGAUGGGCCCGCGGCCUAUCAGCUUGUUGGUGGGGUGAUGGCCUACCAAGGCGACGACGGGUAGCCGGCCUGAGAGGGUGACCGGCCACACUGGGACUGAGAUACGGCCCAGACUCCUACGGGAGGCAGCAGUGGGGAAUAUUGCACAAUGGGCGCAAGCCUGAUGCAGCGACGCCGCGUGAGGGAUGACGGCCUUCGGGUUGUAAACCUCUUUCAGCACCGACGAAGCGCAAGUGACGGUGGGUGCAGAAGAAGGACCGGCCAACUACGUGCCAGCCGCCGCAGUAAAAC